GCUGUAGCUCAGUGGUUCAAAAUGCGCCUUGAAUGCAGAAGGUUCCUGGUUCAAUUCCUGGCAUCUCCA